AUUGAACGCUGGCGGCAGGCCUAACACAUGCAAGUCGAACGAGUGGCGGACGGGUGAGUAAUGUAUGGGAACAUGCCUGAUGGAGGGGGAUAACUACUGGAAACGGUAGCUAAUACCGCAUACCAUCAGAUGUGCCCAGAUUGGAUUAGAUUGGUGGUGGGGUAACGGCUCACCAAGGAGACGAUCCCUAGAUGGUCUGAGAGGAGUACCAGCCACACUGUAACUGAGACACGGUCCAGACUCCUACGGGAGGCAGCAGUGGGGAAUAUUGCACAAUGGGCGCAAGCCUGAUGCAGCCAUGCCGCGUGUAUGAAGAAGGCCUUCGGGUUGUAAAGUACUUUCAGCGGGGAGGCGUUACCCGCAGAAGAAGCACCGGCUAACUCCGUGCCAGCAGCCGCGGUAAUUC
rnacentral:rRNA from 1 species